rnacentral:pre_miRNA from 1 species
CAAGUACUCCCUCCGUCUAGAAUUACUUGUCAUCAAAAUGGAUGUGUCUAGAACUAAAAUACAUCUAGAUACAUCCAUUUCAAUGACAAGUAUUUUCAGACGGAGGGAGUACAAG